rnacentral:tRNA from 1 species
GGACCUGUGGCCCAGCCUGGAUAAGGCGAUUCCCUCCUAAGGAAUAGAUCGGGGGUUCGAACGAGAAGCUACGCUUUCGCAUUAGAAAAGCAGAGUUUUUCUGAAUGUCCUCCCAGGUCCG